GGGCCAUAGCUCAGUGGUAGAUCUUCUGCCUGGUAUGCAGAAGGUCUCAGGUUCAAUCCUUGGCAUCCCCA